AGAGUUUGAUCAUGGCUCAGAUUAACGCUGCGCAGGCCUACACAUCAAGUGAGCGGAUAGGUAGCUGCUACCUGAUUCAGCGGCGGACGGGUGAGUAAUGCCUAGGAAUCUGCCCGAUAGUGGGGGACAACGUUUCGAAAGGAACGCUAAUACCGCAUACGUCCUACGGGAGAAAGCAGGGGACCUUCGGGCCUUGCGCUAUCGGAUGAGCCUAGGUCGGAUUAGCUAGUUGGUGGGGUAAAGGCUCACCAAGGCGACGAUCCGUAACUGGUCUGAGAGGAUGAUCAGUCACACUGGAACUGAGACACGGUCCAGACUCCUACGGGAGGCAGCAGUGGGGAAUAUUGGACAAUGGGCGAAAGCCUGAUCCAGCCAUGCCGCGUGUGUGAAGAAGGUCUUCGGAUUGUAAAGCACUUUAAGCUGGGAGGAAGGGCAGUAAGUUAAUACCUUGCUGUUUUGACGUUACCAGCAGAAUAAGCACCGGCUAACUUCGUGCCAGCAGCCGCGGUA
rnacentral:rRNA from 1 species